UACGAAGGGUGCAAGCGUUACUCGGAAUUACUGGGCGUAAAGCGUGCGCAGGCGGUUAUGCAAGACAGAUGUGAAAUCCCCGGGCUCAACCUGGGAACUGCAUUUGUGACUGCAUAGCUGGAGUGCGGCAGAGGGGGAUGGAAUUCCGCGUGUAGCAGUGAAAUGCGUAGAUAUGCGGAGGAACACCGAUGGCGAAGGCAAUCCCCUGGGCCUGCACUGACGCUCAUGCACGAAAGCGUGGGGAGCAAACAGG
rnacentral:rRNA from 1 species